AAUAUGCUUUGCCCUUACCUAUUUUCGAAGCACAUUUUUAGAAAAUUGACUUGCUUUUAUUUUAUUAUUUUCAUUUUCGUUUAUCUAUUUAUUCUUUUGACUUCAGAAAUCCCAAAAAACAAAGCUAUGUUGUUUCUAAUGACAGCUUUUGCUGUUCUUCCAACGAUCUCAUUCAAUGUGUACAAUGUUUAUAAGGGUGUUCAAGCAAGGAAAGGAAGCAUGCUAGUAGGCUUUGGCAAUGGGAUUAGUUGUCUCCAUAUGAUAUAACUGGGAACUAUCCACAUUUGGUUAUAGUGGGAACUGGACUCACAUUUGGGUUUCUUUUGAUGGUUUUUGACGUAGAUGGUUUGGAGGACUAAAUGUAUAUGCAAGAGCUGUGAUCCAUGUACCAUAUCCUACACUUGCAGCGGAUUUUACUUUACUUAUUGGUGAUUGGUACAAGACCAACCAUAAGGUACGACGGACAACGUGAUAUGCUUUACAAUCAGACAUUCAAUCUAGACCACGUUGCAUUUUCUGCUGAGGGAAUUAAGGAUGCUCAGCAAACAGUGUGAAGGAGGUUGAGGCAAGAUGGAUUGGGUGGGCUGGUGUUAAUGUGCCAAUUGAGGCUGGACAGAGGGCACUUACUAAAGCUUUGGCUGAAAAGAGAUGUAUUCAUGUAUUCCUUGAUGAAGAAAUUGUUCACCAAUGUUAUAAUGGCUAUUUCAACAACAUAUUAUGGCCUCUUUUUCAUUAUCUUGGACUUCUGCGAGAAGAUCGUCUCGCCACUACCAGAAGUUUUCAGUCUCAGUUUGUUGCAUAUGUGAAAGCAAAUGUAAUGUUUGCUGCUGUGGUAAACCAGCAUUACCAGGAGGGUCAUGUUGUUUGGUGCCAUGACUACCACCUCAUGUUCCUUCCAAAAUGCCUGAAGGAGCACAACAGUGAUAUGAAAGUUGGUUGGUUUCUCCACACACCC